CUACACUCUCAUAUUCGCAUACGAACACGCGCGGUUACUGCAGGAUUAAAUACUUUUGUAUAAUCCUAUGGCUGGGUCCUAAUAAAUAAUAUAUAAAUAUUAUAUAGGUGCUACUCGUGCGUGUAUUAUAUUAUUAUAAUAUUAUGACGAGUUGUGAAAAAAUAAAAAUUCAAAUUUGCAAGUUUAUAAAACGAUUAAAAAAAAUAUAUAUAUAUGCAAAUAUUAUCGUGAUACGAACGCCAUUGUUAAAAGCAAUUAUGCUUUCGUCCCGUUACGUUACAAUAUUAAAUAAAAUCCAUUCGAAAUGAUUUCCAGGGCAUUAAAACACGGCGCACUCUCUUUGUAAAAAAUAUAAUCGGAAUUUCACCGUCGGAACGUCGUCGUAUCGUUGGCUUUUCGUGGUUUUAUAUUUUCCACGGGAUUAAUUAUAAUAUUGAUAAUGAUAAUUAUAAUUAUAAAAUUCACUGCAACGGCAAUAAAAACCAAACAAAAUAUAACCCGACGCCCAAGCGUUUUUGCGCGUACGCAUUUGAUGUUAUACUAUUUAAAAUGCGGAAAACGAACGGAAAUAAUAUACUGUAUUCAAAGCGAGGGAAUGACCGGGAUGUUGUCCCCUUUCCCCCUCUCGGGCAUCUAUGACCGUGGUCCUUCAGCGUAUACUCGAUACUAGAGACACGUUGACUUCAAUAUCGCAAUACAAAAUAUUGUACUCGUUGUAUCCAUUAUCCGAGAUAACAUUUACUAUCGUACCGUGGCUUUGUGUGUUAUUGUUAUAGAAUAUGUGAGUGUAAGAGGCGUAAAGGAUCAAAACCGAAAUUACCGUUGAUAAAAUAAACAUUCCCAAAAGAAUACUCCGGGCCAUUAAUAGUAAAAUGGUAAAUAAUAUUUAUCGGAAAUAGACGCGUUUCCGAAAUUAAACGGUAUUUUUUUUUUUGUUUAACGUUCUCCGGUCUGAAAAACCAAGGUAGACGAUAUUUGUCCUUAAUGUAUAUUAUGGUACGUAAACGCAUGAUUUUCGGGCUAUAAAAAUCGAUUGAAAAAAAAAAAAAUAAAAAAACCUAUGUCCACAGGUAUUCAGGUUACCUAUAUUUACGGCGCCGACGGGUUAAAGGUUUCGAUAAGCCGCGAUUAUAAUUUAAAACCGAUUCUGUAGUUAUUAUAAUAUUAUGCACACCGCGUAAUGUAACGAUAUUACAUGAAAAUAAGUUCCACACCGUAAAACCGGUAACUUUCACACACACACACACACACACGCGCGCGCCCGUUUCACGAUUGAUUCACGUUUCCGAGGUGUUCUGGGGGCAUACAAUGCAAAUGAAAUAUAACGAAUCGGAUGUGCACGGCGGUAUUGCGCAAAUCGCGUAACCGGCGAUGGUAAUAAUAAUAAUGUUGUUAUGCACGAUCGGACGUAACCGCGGUAAAUAUCCAUUUUGCCAUAAUAAUAUGUCACUCCGCGUCAUAAUGUAUUAUCCGCACUGCGCGGAUAAAUCGUUACUACGUUAUUAUUACGUGCGCGCAUAAUCGAUACGAAAAAAAAAACGUUCGGAAAUUAAUACCGAGAGGGCGCAAUAACGUUUGCCGCGUCUGUCUGCGCGGUAACGGGCAAUAUAGAAAACGCGCGUGUUCGUAUUUUUCCAACAUUCGGGAUCGAACGGACCUGAAACGCGAAAUUCCGUUUCGCCGGGUCAAAGGCCACUUACUACGUUCAAUGCGCGCCGCGUUCGCCGUGUUUUUCCGAUAUAUGUUUCGCAUACACUCGUGCGUUGAACAUUUUUUUCGUUGGAUUCUGAGAGGAGCUAGGGAUUUAUUGCUUUUACAACGAUGUUUAAUUUAAUUUUAAUUUUUUUUUUUUUUUUAUGUAAACACUUUUUCUACCGGAGAGCAUACGCCGAAUGUAUCAAAUAUACCGCCUUUACCGAUGGGAAAUGUUCUCGGGGCGGUACAUUAGAGGGGUCAUUUUUCGAAAUUCCCAUUAAUAUUCGAGAGAAUGUGGAAAAUCUGGUUCUUUAGGUCGAAAAAGAUUGAAAGAAUAAAAAUAAGGUUGUCAUUGGCAAAGCAACACUAUCGACCGACCACCGCUCGGAAUCGUUUUUUGUUAACAAUGGUUUAUCGUUUAUUGCAGAUACGCAUUGAAUUCCCAAUUCAAUUCACGUUGAAAAAAGUCCCCCGUAGAAUCCUAUUAAACGAUGUAGUCUUAAAAUUUGACGAAACAAUUUUUGUUUUCAGUUAGUCAUUGUAUCCUGAGUGCUGAUUGCAAAAACACAUUUUCACUAAAUUGUCCGUUUGAAAGACAGAGACGGCAAUAUUAUUACGCGUUCUUUAGAACGCGGUGUCACGGACCGAAUUCGCGUUCGGCAAGGACGACUUUUUGGUAUUGGUUUUGAUAUUAGAGCGAAAAUUGGCCUAUUGUCGAGCUCAAAGGCAAGAACAUUGACUGUGCGCCCAAUUUUUCGAUAGUUUAAAAAGCCACAUACGAGUGCAUCGACUAUUGUCACGAAGAAAACGCCCACGUGCUCGCCUUAAAGAUUGAUAAUCGAUCAAUUCGUUCUA